rnacentral:rRNA from 1 species
UACGAAGGGAGCUAGCGUUGUUCGGAAUCACUGGGCGUAAAGCGCACGUAGGCGGAUUUGUCAGUCAGGGGUGAAAUCCCGGGGCUCAACCUCGGAACUGCCUUUGAUACAGCAAGUCUUGAGUUCGAGAGAGGUGGGUGGAAUUCCUAGUGUAGAGGUGAAAUUCGUAGAUAUUAGGAGGAACACCAGUGGCGAAGGCGGCUCACUGGACCGGUUCUGACGCUGAGGCGCGAAAGCGUGGGGAGCAAACGGG